rnacentral:rRNA from 1 species
GAUGAACGCUGGCGGCGUGCCUAACACAUGCAAGUCGAACGGAAAGACGAUGAGAUUUUGCCCCUGCGGGUGGCGGGGGGCGGGUGAGUGAGGCAUGCAUCACCUACCUAUAUGACUGGGAUAAUAACGGGAAGCCACUGCUGCUAAUAGAGAAUAUAUUCCACGGCAUGGUUCAAUAGUGCUUGAGGGUUUUGGUGUUUCUAUGAGAUGGAUCCGGGUCGGAUUAGCUAGUUGGUAAGGUAACGGCUUACCAAGGCUACGAUGCGUAGCUGACCUGAGAGGGUGAUCAGCCACACUGGAACUGAGACACGGUCCAGACUCCUACGGGAGGCAGCAGUGGGGAAUCUUGGACAAUGGGCGAAAGCCUGAUGCAGCCACGCCGCGUGGGUGAAGAAGGUCUUCGGGUCGUAAAACCCUUUUAUUGGGGAAGAACAAAUGUAGAAGUAACUAUGCACGUCUUGACGGUACCUAAAGAAAAAGCACCGGCUAACUACGUG